UACAGAGGUGGCAAGCGUUGUUCGGAAUUACUGGGCGUAAAGCGCGUGUAGGCGGCUCUUCAAGUCAGGCGUGAAAGCCCCGGGCUCAACUCGGGAACUGCGCUUGAUACUGUCGAGCUAGAGUGUGGAAGGGGCGAUUGGAAUUCCGUGUGUAGCGGUGAAAUGCGUAGAUAUACGGAGGAACACCAGAGGCGAAGGCGGAUCGCUGGGCCAACACUGACGCUCAUGCACGAAAGCGUGGGGAGCAAACAGG
rnacentral:rRNA from 1 species